ACCGUGGUUUUCUCUUGGUCUUAGAAAACCCUAAAUCCUUAUUUUUCCCGGUUUUACACGAAAAGAAAAUGAGAUCACGGAUUGCUAGUCACUUUUGGUUUAUUUCCUUAAACGUGUCUCACUGCGUCUCAGAUCUGACUCACUUCUUUGGGUUUUGUAUAUAUUCUGAAUCUUUUAAUUUUUUUGUUUCCACAUUUGGGAAGUUUAUUUUAUUUUUUAUCUUUACUCAUUUCGCUUUUGCUUCUUCUCUCUAAUUUCUGUUUCUCUGGGACAUAGAAAUUGACAGAAGAGAGUGAGCACACAGAGGCACUUGGUAUAAGUCUAUACUAUUGCUUUUGCGUGCUCACUUCUCUUUCUGUCAGAUUCCAGUGCCGGAGGAGGCCAAUUAAAAUAUUAUCAUCCCCUCCGUCCUGUCUUUUGUUCCGGAAUCUCUCUCUCUCUAAUAAUAUCUCUGCUCUUCUUCUUGGUUUUGUGGGACUUCCAACUUCAAGAGCAGCACAUCAGGAAAAUAGGGGCCGGAUUGAAUGGGUGAUGAAAAACAGUAUCUCGUCGUCUUUUUUCUUAUUUUGAAAUUCCACCAAUAAUUUUAUGUGCAAUUACAUAUAUUAUAGUUUUAAUUGUUGUAAGCGUGACUUUUGAUGGUGUUUUUCCAAGAAGGUACAGCUGUUUACCGUGCGGAUUGGGCGGUAAACCUUGUUAUAGCACGGGACCAUUCACGUUAUGUAGGAGUAGUAUGGUCCUCACAAACCUCUUUUAUCCUUCAUCCUUUCCAGCUUCUUGGUUAGAACUAUCAACAUCCUUGUGGCGCCGUUCCCCUAUUUAAUUCCUGCGCAUGCGUUUUUCACCCGAUCGAGAUUUGAUUCUUAUGAGGGUUUUUUCUCACCUGAACCAAGCCAGAGUUUGGUUGCUCGGUAUCUCCUUUCAGAUAUAUAUUAUUGUUCAUAUGGGGUUUGAAACCCUAUUGUUUCGGCACGAUUACAGGAGGGUUUUCUAGGUCUAAGUGAUCUAGCUUAAUCUUGUAACUUAAAUGCCUUACUAAUGGGUCUUUGGAGAAAAUAACUAAUCUCGAUAUGAUCUUUGAAACAAGUUUUUGCAUUUUUCAUCAUAUGUUGUGAUUUGAUGGGACGUGUUAUGCGUAGAACAGAUGUAAAACCUUUGGAUUAGGUCAUGGUAAUGAGAAUUUUACAGAAGAAGCCGUGUUGUUUCUUUGAGGUUUUGCAGGCCGGGGAGGAUAUUUUAAGGAUCCGUCAACUCAAAUGUCAUCAGGACCGAAAUCUUUCUCCGAAGAAAACUCGUCAAACAGGUUCUGUCCCGGUUUUGAGAAACAAAAUAAUAAUAAAGUAUGGGUGCAAUGGCAUGCAUAUAUAUAUAUAUAUAUAUAUAUGCAAUGAGCGACAAAUACCUGGAUGAGGAUACGUAGCAUGUGUGCGGAGGUGUUUAGAGGUUAUAACGAGAGAAAGCACAAUUAAGGGUUUGGAAGACAAUGGAAUUUCUUUUCUAAGCGCAAGAAGAUAUUUUUGCGCGCUUGGGAUUGCAUUUAAUUUAUUGCAAGAAGAUCAUAUUGUUUGUCUCGCUUCCACUAAUUAAAGAUGUGGAUUGCCUUAUAGGAAGAAACAAGCGGCGUGUUGAAUGCAUGGUUAAUGUCUUUCUGAUUAUGAAAAAGUGGCCGGCAGGAAAAUGUGAAAAUUGUUGCAAAUGCAUACAUAAAUUAACUCGGUGGGUAAUCAGCAAAAUGUGAAAAUUGUUGUAAAUGCAUACAUAAAUUUUGCACGUAGUUAAUCAUUUUGAUUCCAUCUCUUAGAAUUUUACCUCAUUCAUAUAUCAAUGUUUAGAAUUUUUAAAUUCGUCAAUGUAUUUUUUAAUUCAUUUAUUAUCCUUUCAUAUUGUUUAUUCUCAUGUGCCUAUAAAAGUUUGGUUAGAAAAGGUUGUCUUGAGUACAACCAUUUGCAACAACCAAGAAAUUAGAGGUAAAUGAUGUUGAGAUUUCUAAAAGCUAGUUUUAUAUAUCACGAUCUUUCAAUUUAAUUUCUUGAUACUUCUUUUUAAUUUUACAAUAGGAUUUCAGCAAUGAACUUUAGCUAAAUAUUGUUGUGUUCUUUUUAUAUUUGACAAGCUAUUUGUGUAACAUUUGUCGACUUUGGUAAGUUAAUUAGUCCUAUGUGAUAUUAUGUGGGUUUGAAUUUUAUCAUAUAAAUGCAAUGGGUAUUCUUCUUUUUC